AUAUUUGCAUCGAUUUUUGGUUUUGAUGUUAUUUUUUUAACAUUGAAUUAAAAGGGAAUCUGGUAAAAAGCCAGAACUGUUCCCACAACUGUAAGUUUAUGCUGGAUUUUUUUUUUCAGCACCUCAAUUGAGGAUGUUAUUUAUUCUUAUACCACUGACAAUUUAUUGUUGGGAAGGUGAAAUAACAUAAAAUAAGUCAGGAGACCUGCCCUAAAUCACAAGUUAUA
rnacentral:ncRNA from 2 species